rnacentral:rRNA from 1 species
AUCGGGAAAUAGACUGGGAACGACUACUUCGAGGACCUUUCUCGAGCAUCAACCAGUCGACUCAGAACUAGUAUGGACAAGGGAAAUUCAGUUGUUUAAUUAAAAUAAAGCAUUGUAAUGGUCUCCGCGGAUGCUCACGAAAUGUGAUUUUUGCCCAGUGCUCUAAAUGUUAAAGUGAAGAAAUUCAACCAAGCGCGGGUAAACGACUAGAGUAACUAUAACUCUCUUAAGGUAGCUAAAUGCCUCGUCAUCUAAUUAGUGACGCACAUGACUAGAUUAACAAGAUUCCCACUAUCCCUGUCUACUAUCUAGUGAAACCACAGCCAAGGGAAUGAGCUUGG